GACGAACGCUGGCGGCGUGCUUAACACAUGCAAGUCGAACGGAAAGGCCCUGCUUUUGUGGGGUGCUCGAGUGGCGAACGGGUGAGUAACACGUGAGUAACCUGCCCUUGACUUUGGGAUAACUUCAGGAAACUGGGGCUAAUACCGGAUAGGAGCUCCUGCUGCAUGGUGGGGGUUGGAAAGUUUCGGCGGUUGGGGAUGGACUCGCGGCUUAUCAGCUUGUUGGUGGGGUAGUGGCUUACCAAGGCUUUGACGGGUAGCCGGCCUGAGAGGGUGACCGGCCACAUUGGGACUGAGAUACGGCCCAGACUCCUACGGGAGGCAGCAGUGGAGAAUAUUGCACAAUGGGCGGAAGCCUGAUGCAGCAACGCCGCGUGCGGGAUGACGGCCUUCGGGUUGUAAACCGCUUGCGCCUGUGACGAAGCGUGAGUGACGGUAAUGGGUAAAGAAGCACCGGCUAACUACGUG
rnacentral:rRNA from 1 species